rnacentral:ncRNA from 1 species
UGUUAUACGAUGAUAAAGAGGAGUAGCUUUAUUAAUUUUUCAGAGAGAUGGUGUUUGGUGCGAACCAUUAAAUUGUAAAGUGAAGGGCGCUUUUGAGUAUGUGUUUAUGAGAGCAGGGCUUAUGCCAAAAAGGGUGGAACCGCGGUAAAACCGUCCCUUAU